rnacentral:rRNA from 1 species
GUCGGUGUUGAUUGCGGUGAGGGUCCACCCGUUCCCAUCCCGAACACGGAAGUUAAGCUCACCUGCGCCGAAAAUACUUGUCUGGAGACGGACUGGGAAGAUAGGUAACGCCGACA